GGUCCCGUAGCUCAGUUGGAUAGAGCAACUGCCUUCUAAGCAGUAGGUCUCUGGUUCGAAUCCAGACGGGAUCA
rnacentral:tRNA from 1 species